GAAGAAUAACUCAGAAAAUUCAUAUUAUUUGAAAUCACAGAAGAUGAGCCAACUUAAAAAAGUUGUACGUACCUUCGGUUCUAAGAAGUACCCUUUAAAAUACCGAUACUUAACAGGAACUCCUCUAACAAGCUCUACAGUAGCUUUCCAU